ACAGCCGGCGGGGGGUGGGGGUGGGGUGAAUUAACUUUCGAUGCUCUUCAGAGGAGAUCAGCCUUAUCUGGGCCAUAAAACCUGUCUGGGCUUUGUAACAAAGGACCAUGACCUUUCUACUGAAAGGAAGCAACAAUUAUUGUCCCUCAGUUCUGGGUCUAUAAGCAUUUUUUGAGGAAGGUAAAAGAGAAUCAAGAAAAAGCAAAUUUCCUGAGAAGUGAGUAAGGACCCUACAAUAGGCCUUGGGGGAAUUCUUGUUUGAGACAACAGAAAACCGGCUGUGAAGAAUGGCCUGGGUGGGGAUGAAACUUAACACCCGUCCAUCUGCUGGGGCCCACUUCCUCAUCAUCUUUCGUCAGUCCUGUGACAUUAACAACGUUGUAUGACAUUUGCGUCAGGCAUCAGAUAACGUGCCUGAUGGUCUCUAAACAAUACGUCCAGAGAGGAAUAGAGUGUUACAACUCAAAAAAGGACACAGGAGAGGAAAGAGAGCUGUCUCUGUCCCGCUCUGUCGCUCGGCAGUAAGAUUCCCCUCAAGGCACUGGACCACAGCAAAGAUGGAGAAAAGCAGAGAAUGCCUUCUGCCUUCUGGGGGAGAAAAACCCACAGUGGAAACUGCUGUGAGAAUCGUGAAAACAUCACUGUAAGCCAGAGCUUUCCUGCACUGAUGUCCUUUCUCCAAGUCCAGGCUCCAAUCUGUAGGAGUCGGUAUCCAGUUACGCUGUACCGUUGGUCCUCUGGACAGCAGGUUCCCCUCCCCGGAUUCAGGGGCCGCAGAAGCCUCAGGUACCGAGGACCUUCGUUCUGUGUCACCGUAUAGAAGGGACUUGGGCAUCCAGAGUUUGAUGUCCCAGGGGGCCCUGGAACCAAGUGCCCAUGGAUCCUGAGGGAUGACUGCUCUUUUUGUCUUUGGUCCCUAAGUGAUGGGACGUUGAAGUUUGUGUCUGCAGGACUCUCAAACUGUAUCAAUGCACCAGAUACAGAUGUCUUCAUGGUAGGAGGGACUGGGGCUUUCUGUCCCUGAACCUGCAUGCCAACAGCGGGGAGGCUCAGCUCUCAUCUGGCGUAACCCUGAUUGGAUGGCUAACCUGAGGGCACACACUACCUGGGGCAAAGGUAACUAGCUUUGCUAUAACGACAUCAUAAAGAUGACUGAACAGGAUUAGAUGGCUGGAUGCUGAUGAACCGUUUAGGGCCGCUGUAAAACCACUGAGCAUCGCAGGGCUCCCUCCAGCUUCUGGGGACCUUGGGUCAAGUGCUCAUCAGAUCCUGCUCAUCCCUCCUGUACUCUAAGGCUGAACUUCACUCUCCUCAUCAUCUUUAAAAUGUCGGUUAAGCCUCUUGAUCUGGGCUCAAGCAAAGGUACCUUUUGAAGAAGGUGAUGUUAUGGAUUCCCACUGGAAUGGACAGACGCUCUGCCCACCCCAGCCCUGAUACAUAGACCUAAAUGAGGACACAGUGGGAAGGAGAGGGGUUCAACUCCCCCAGGUCUUCUCCUGAUUUGUCCUGAGCAGCAGGUGAGCCUAGUGGGCAGGGCUAGGACUCCAGGGCUAGACUGCUUAGGCCAGCAUCUCAGCUCUGCCAGUGGCAGGUUCUGAGACCCUGGGCAAGUCAUUUAACCUCCCAGUGCCUCCAGUUCUUUUCUGAAAAAUAGAAGUACCUUCCCUGUCAUGUGGGGUUGUCAAGAGGUCCCAGUGAGUUCAAGCACACAUAGGCUUUGGACCGCACCUCACAGCUGUAAGCACUCUUCAACUUGCCUUAAAGGCAAAAAGAAGACGAUUGUGUCCUAAGAAAGGCCAAGGAACUCAGCCACAUUGUCAUGCUACUUCCCUGUAUUGACUGUUUACACUGAAAAUGAGGACAUAGAAAGAAAGGGCAACCACAGUUUCUUUUCCCUUCAGUCUUUCCUUGCUCAUCAGCAAGAUGAGGGCAGAGAGCAUUGGUAAAACGUCUGUGUAUGGAGAAGUGAAACAAGGAGAUAAGAGUCAGAUGCAGCAUUUCCAUUGUUCUGGAAGAGAUGAACUAGAGAUGCAUGUGCAUUUAUGAAAUACUAACUACGUCACCUUGGAGGUGCUGCAUCGGAGUUCUGUGUGCAUUUAGAACCGUCACGGUGUAAUCUAAAGGUGAACAAUAAAGAUCAUGCUAAUGUUAAUAAAUAA